UACGGAGGGGGCUAGCGUUGUUCGGAAUUACUGGGCGUAAAGCGCGCGUAGGCGGACCUGCAAGUCGGGGGUGAAAGCCCGAGGCUCAACCUCGGAACUGCCUUCGAUACUGCGGUCGUCGAGUCCGGGAGAGGUGAGUGGAAUUCCGUAGUGUAGAGGUGGAAAUUCGUAGAUAUUAGGAAGAACACCAGUGGCGAAGGCGGCUCACUGGCCCGGUACUGGACGCUGAGGCGCGAAAGCCAGGGGAGCGGAAC
rnacentral:rRNA from 1 species